rnacentral:rRNA from 1 species
AACAGGAUUAGAUACCCUGGUAGUCCACGCCCUAAACGAUGCCAACUGGUUGUUGGGAGGGUUUCUUCUCAGUAACGUAGCUAACGCGUGAAGUUGACCGCCUGGGGAGUACGGCCGCAAGGUUGAAACUCAAAGGAAUUGACGGGGACCCGCACAGGCGGUGGAUGAUGUGGUUUAAUUCGAUGCAACGCGAAAAACCUUACCUACCCUUGACAUGCCAGGAAUCUUGCAGAGAUGUGAGAGUGCUCGAAAGAGAACCUGGACACAGGUGCUGCAUGGCCGUCGUCAGCUCGUGUCGUGAGAUGUUGGGUUAAGUCCCGCAACGAGCGCAACCCUUGUCAUUAGUUGCUACGAAAGGGCACUCUAAUGAGACUGCCGGUGACAAACCGGAGGAAGGUGGGGAUGACGUCAGGUCAUCAUGGCCCUUAUGGGUAGGGCUACACACGUCAUACAAUGGCCGGGACGGAGGGCUGCCAACCCGCGAGGGGGAGCUAAUCCCAGAAACCCGGUCGUAGUCCGGAUCGCAGUCUGCAACUCGACUGCGUGAAGUCGGAAUCGCUAGUAAUCGCGGAUCAGCUUGCCGCGGUGAAUACGUUCCCGGGUCUUGUACACACCGCCCGUCACACCAUGGGGGCGGGUUCUGCCAGAAGUAGUUAGCCUAACCGCAAGGAGGGCGAUUACCACGGCAGGGUUCGUGACUGGGGUGAAGUCGUAACAAGGUAACC